rnacentral:rRNA from 1 species
AACGAACGCUGGCGGCAUGCCUAACACAUGCAAGUCGAACGAGACCUUCGGGUCUAGUGGCGCACGGGUGCGUAACGCGUGGGAAUCUGCCCUCUGGUUCGGAAUAACUCAGGGAAACUUGAGCUAAUACCGGAUAAUGACUUCGGUCCAAAGAUUUAUCGUCUGAGGAUGAGCCCGCGUCGGAUUAGCUAGUUGGUGAGGUAAAGGCUCACCAAGGCGACGAUCCGUAGCUGGUCUGAGAGGAUGAUCAGCCACACUGGGACUGAGACACGGCCCAGACUCCUACGGGAGGCAGCAGUGGGGAAUAUUGGACAAUGGGCGAAAGCCUGAUCCAGCAAUGCCGCGUGAGUGAUGAAGGCCUUAGGGUUGUAAAGCUCUUUUACCCGGGAUGAUAAUGACAGUACCGGGAGAAUAAGCCCCGGCUAACUCCGUGCCAGCAGCCGCCGUAA